CAGACCUAUUUUUAACUUUGGUUAGAACUUAUUUAUACAAUGAAAGUAAAUCGAACUGGGACGGAUAUGAGUACAAUCUAAUUGACCCUCCUCGGGAAGGGGAGCAAUUUGCUUUUGGCUGAGUCCACGGAACCGGUUCAGAAGACAUGGAUUCGAUACCCAUUUAUUACCGACGCAAACUUUGCUUAUUGGACAGCUGCUAUGGGACUACGAGCGUGUGCUUAAAACUUAAAGAACUUGGCGGCUCGCUAACUACUCCGGGGAAUAUGCGCCUUAAUCCGAUGCUCCGCGUAUCAUCUUACCUUACCUCGAAGGACGGACAGCUGGUGUAUUGCCGUUGUCAGCUUGUGGUUUGAGCUACGCGAAACAGGCUUAAUGGAAUUGGUCGACUAGUCGUUGACAAAUGCCGUGAAUUCAGGUCGAAAUACUGCCAAUGGUUAAGGGGAGUGGGUAUUACAAUUUUGAUUUAGAAUUACGGAUCCUGG
rnacentral:rRNA from 1 species